rnacentral:lncRNA from 1 species
GAGAGCCCCCUGGGAUCCUCAGGAGCCCUCCAUCUUAUGGCUCCCCAAAGAAGAAACAGAAUUACCUCGUCACUUUCUGGUAUCUGGUCUGCCCCCAGAAGACCAGGAGCCACCUCCAGAUACCACUGAUACAUGGGCUUGGGACUAAGUUUUCCAACACAUUUUCCUCUGGGGUGGCGGGACAUUCAGACCACGGCCAUCUCCUUCUGUCGCUGAAUGGAAUGAAGAGCCUUCACUUCACAGACAUGGAAGAGAAUAGAACAAAAGAUUCCACAGAUCAACUCAGGGUGGUGUCAACAAGAGACAGCAAUGAGGCGGAACACCCAGGUUGCUGCUAACUCUAGCUCUCAGGCUGUGCUGGCCACUGGCUUUCCCUACCAGAGGAAGGUUCUGACGGGCAGACACAGUCACUGCACUAGUGGGUGCUCACCGUGACAGAUCAAGACAACUGUGUGAACUGUUCUGAAGCAGAGUCCUCUCCCCCGUGCAUGAAGACCAAGAAUGGGUGAUCAUAGAACCGGUUCAGUGGGUACCCUGGGAAUUCAGAAGAAAGCAUCAGAUCUCCCUGGAACUGGAAGCACUGAUGGUAUGAGCCACCAUAUGGGUCCUGGGAACCAGCCAAGGUCCUCUGCAAGAGCCACACAUGCAAAAGCUGUGGAGCCAUCUCUCCAGCUCCAUCUUUAAUUCUUUUGGCACUGAAAAUCUUUACUCCAAGAAAAUCUCACCUAAGCUUCCAUCAAAACCAAAGGGAAAUCAGCAAUCGCAGGAUAUCUGAUAUGUGACCUCUGUGGAAGGGCCAUUCAACCCAAAGGAGUCAUGAUCCUCAGGUUGAGAACUGCUGUCCUAGUGUGACUAGACAGCCGGUCCCGACAGGCCAGAGUGUUUCUGGGACAGUGGCUGCUUAAUCAACCAAGCCCUGGAAGGAGGAACGACCAGAAGAGAGCCCUGACUCAGCCUGGAAUUGAUCACACUUGUAUUGAAUAAGGCCACUGAGGUGUUGGGGUUGCAUGCUGUUACUACAGCAUAAUCCACCCAGCCCUGAUUAAUAGGCCUGAACGAGCCCAGAUCUCCAGAAUUCCCUUGUGGUCUAAGCUGAGGUGUUUCCCUAAAUGCCAUUCCUGCCCAUGCUUUAGUUGGUGUGCUGGGUUUGGGAAGUCUUCUGCCUUUCAUGUGGAUCUGAGGACCAGUUCUGAGCUGCCUCAUACAGGAGACUGCAGUGAGCUGAAUGGUACCCUUCAGAAAGGCCUGGACUGUUACAUUGCUGGGGGGUUGAAGGGGUCUUUGUAAAUGUAGUUAACUUAAGGCCGUGACGCAGAAGAUCAGCCUGAAUUAGCAAUGUGGGCCUUAGUGGCCCAGUGGCAGGGGUACUUUUAAGUGUGAAGCAGGGAGGCCAGGAUUUAACUUAACAGUUGUUAAGUUUGUUUUUUAAGUUCCAACAUUGCUUAAUAAACAAGGUACUG